ACUAAAUUUAAAGUAAGUUGAAAGGACAAAUGAAAAAUUUGUUGUUAACUUGGAAGAGUAAAGCUUAGCUACUAAUGAAAUUUAAGUAAUAAUGUUUGGGAACUAUUAUUGGCACUCCAUAAAUUUAAUUGUACACUCCUUAUAAAGUUGUUUCUUCAAUUAGAGUGGUUUUCCUGAUUGGAGUUUGUUUCUUAAUUAGAGAAGGAUCCAUAACUAGAUUCCAAUUAGGAUUAGUAUUCCUUAUUGAAGAUGAUCUUUAUUAUGUCAUAUAUAGAGCUAUUGCACUAGUUUUUGAAGAGGAGCAAAACAAUAAGUUGUAUACCACUUGAGGAGUUAAGUGAGAGAAUAUUGUAAUUUGUAAGAGCAAUGUGUGUGUGAGAGAAAAUAAGGGAUAAAAGUUUAUUUCUUGUUCUUAUUCUUUCAGAUUUGUUGUCAAGUUGUAAUUCAAGAGACUGAGCAAAAUUCUUUAUUGUACUUAUUAUUAAUAUAGCGAAAGUUUGUUAUUGCUACCAAACUUACAUAGCCAAACCACGUAAAUAACAUGUAUACCACGUGUGGUGUUUAUUAAUUUCCCAUUCUUAAACAUGGUACUCACAAUAAUUUAUAAUCAACUUAUUAUUAUCUCCUUUUUGAAAAAUAAAAAUGAAAUAAACACGCCUACGUGCCCGCCUUGUGCCAUUAUCGACGGUAUAGUACAACAUACUAGACCCUAGCUAGAUUCUUUUGUUCCUUGUCUUUCUAUGCCAAAAUAAUCAUACAAAAGAAACUCAGAACAUGUUAAUCAGUGUUGAGUAUUACAGUAUAGUGGUAUUCUUCUUUACUUGUAUUUGUAAGUGAGAGAUUUUAGUUUGAUUCUAGCCAAAAACAAACUUAAAAUACAUUAUUGUUUGCCCAUUAUGAAGUUUAGCUCACUCUCCUAUCUCUAGGUGUAAAUCAUAUCUUUUGUUUCGAGGAAAAAAAAGAACAUGAUGAUCAGUAUCGAUGAAAAAUAAAUUAAUACGAAAUUUACAUAUGUGAUUGUAAUUCAGUUUUUGUUACGUGACAAAUAAACAUUCCACGCAAACUACAACCAUUUGAUAGAUUAUGACCUACCACAAGCCAUGCAUGUGUAGGAGGAGUUGCACUGCAUCUGCUUGCACUCAGAGUCCCAGUCUCCCAGAGCCAUCCGUUACAGCAAAGACACAAAGAGAAAAUUAAAUGUGCAGAACCAAUAUUUUAGAUUUUACUGCAUGACUCUAUAUCAUCAUACAUACGUUCAAUCCUUCAAUCCACGAUCCAAAAGAAAACAUCAUUCAUUUAUGUUACUGCGCCUGUAGAGACACCACACUCGACAAAAACCUAUUGAAGUGCACUCGCUCAUUUUUUAACAACUUGAAGUCAGGUCUUUUUUUUUCAACUAUUACAGAUAAAAAAGUAAUGGAAAAAAUUUGUACGAUGUGCGUGUACUGUAUACUGUAUCUUUAUCUCCACCCAAGGAGAUACGGGAUGGAAUAUCCCUAUGAGCGACUGUGCUAAUCAUUAUAUGUUUUGGCCACGUCCGUUUACGCUUUAAAGAGGAAGGUUAGAUCUUUCAAUCUUAUGUUGUGAGGGAUGUGACGUAUGUUAGGUCCAUAAGUACCCCAACUUUUGAUGUUCUAUGAUUCACCUCCGAAUAUGUACAUUAUAUAAUUAAUGUGUGCAUGGGUUUGAGGGGGUUGUAGUUAAAUCUUUUGUCUCGUGAUAAACCUUCUCUUAGAAUUUUGGGUUUAGGGUAAUUAGUGAUAGAUAGCCUACACUUUAUAUAUGAAUACGUUAGCUAAUAGCACUUAUUACCGAUCCUAUGUUUACUACUAUCAUGUUUCGUGGUUUUCAAUAUUUAGUACAUCAAAUUUUUUUGUCCCAGAGUCAUACCUAAAGUGUAAAUUUUGGGACAGUCUCAUACGUCUGUUAGUUAAACUAUUAAGUCUCCCCUUAACUGAUGAUGUGGCGCCUAUGGGACAAUGACUAGGCGCCACGUGUCAAUA
rnacentral:lncRNA from 1 species